UACGUAGGGUGCGAGCGUUAAUCGGAAUUACUGGGCGUAAAGCGUGCGCAGGCGGCUUUGCAAGACAGAUGUGAAAUCCCCGGGCUCAACCUGGGAACUGCAUUUGUGACUGCAAGGCUAGAGUACGGCAGAGGGGGAUGGAAUUCCGCGUGUAGCAGUGAAAUGCGUAGAUAUGCGGAGGAACACCAGUGGCGAAGGCAAUCCCCUGGACCUGUACUGACGCUCAUGCACGAAAGCAUGGGGAGCAAACAGG
rnacentral:rRNA from 1 species